AUAGCUGAUGUUCACCCAGUUGUUCUUAAUUUCUUUUUGUUCCAAACUUAGUCCUAAAAAUGGAGUUAUUUAUAAUUUUAGCUGUGUGUGUAUGUGGCUAUGUGAGUUUAUGUGCAUCAUGUGUAUCUCAUAGAGGGCAGAAGAAAACAUCAGGUCCCCUGGAAGGAGUUCUAAGCUGCCAUGUUGGUAGAUGCUGCUAAUGGAACUCAGGUCCUCUGCAAGCUAAGUAAGCAACUACUGGACCAUUUCUCCAGCCCCUGCACUAAAUGUAUUUAUUGACUGUUGUCUGAAAGGCUGUUCUUUUUAAAAAUCAGUUAUUCAGAACACUCCAUAAUACAGAUUUUACUUUUCUCUGGAUUUCACACAUUUAAUUCUGUUAUAUAUUAUUUUGAACACAGUUAAGGGGAAAAAAAUCUCAAGGAUUUUAAAAGAUAGUGGGAAUUCUGAAUGCUUAGUUAAAUAUUUCUGAAGCUUUGAAACAUCCACAGACAUAAACAAUUAUCCCAGUUAUUAUUAUUAUUAUUAUUAUUAUUAUUAAUUAUUAUUAUUAUUGGUGGUGGUGGUGAUGUUGUAAGUGGAUAUAAAAGCUAGAUCUAUCUAAAUAUCUUUCAAGACCAAACUACCUAAAAGGACUUGGAAACAUUAUCCCAGUUAUUACAAGUGUCCCAAUGAUCUAUUGUCAUAUUUUGAUUUUUGUUGUAUGACAUUUUGUUUGUGUUCUGUCAAAUAAAGCUUGCCUGAAGAUCAGAGGGCAGAGUUAGCCACCAGUUAACCACAGAGGCCAAGCAGUGGUGGCAUACAUCUUUAAUCCCAGGAGGAAGCAGGAACAUCAGGAGUUCAAGGCCUCCCUGGGCUACACCAGAUUGAGCAAGUCUAAAGAAGAAACAAUGCCAGGCAGUGGUGGCUCACACCUUUAAUUCCAGCACCUGGUAGGCUCAUGCCUUUAAUCCCAGCACCUGGAAGUCUCAUGCCUUUAACCCAGCACUAGAGACAGAUAUAAAAGUCAGGUGGACACAGGAUCCCCUUUUGGCCUGAGAUUUCAUAGAGAGUCUGAAGGAGUGAAGGAUAACAUUCCCUUUGAUACUACAGCUUCUUCUGAAAUCCAGUCCAGUCACAUUGAGUUGCAUGAAACAGUGAAUACAACUUUCAACUACUGUGUAAAUUGGAAGAAGAGGAAAAAUGGAAAGAUCAGAUCAAGAACCUGACAAGAUAUCAAGAAAUGAAAACUAGCCAAUAAUUAAAACAAAUGACAAUGAAAAACACCCUGCAAUUUAUCUUCUUGCAUAUAACUGUAAUUUGACUUCAUUUUAAAUGGAAUAUUUUAUUCUUGUGGAUCCCAAACUAGCUUUCUUUAUACAUUAUUAUAAAUGUAUGUAUGUAUAUAUAACACAAAUAUAUAAUAUAUGUAUGCAUAUAUGUUGCUAGAGUUUUCCUGCCUGGCCCACAGUCAGGACAAAUCUCUCUCACCUGCCAGUCCCACAGCUUCUCAGACCCAACCAAGUAAACACAGAGACUUAUAUUGCUUACAAACUGUAUGGCCAUGGCAGGCUUCUUGCUAACUGUUCUUACAGCUUAAAUUAAUCCAUUUCUAUUAAUCUAUACCUUGCCACAUGGCUCGUGGCUUACCGGCAUCUUUACAUGCUGUUUCUCAUCAUGGUGGCUGGCAGCGUCUCUCUGACUCAGCCUUCCACUUCCCAGCUUUAUUCUCCUCCUUGUCCCGCCUACUCUUCCUGCCUAGCCAAUGGCCAAUCAGUGUUUUAUUUAUUGACUAAUUAGCAACACAUUUGCCAUACAGAACAUCCCACAGCACAUAUAUAUAUUACAUAUACAAUAUUUAUGUGAGUAAUUCUAUUUUGUAGAAAUACUUCUACAAAAAACAAGUAUAUGAGCUGGAGAGAUGGCUAAGCACUUCAUAGUUCUUCUUGCUUUCCUUGGACACAAGUUACGUUCCCAGCACCUAUGCAGAGAAGCUCACAACCAACUCUAACUCAGACUACUCUUUUUGUGCUUUCCUGGCACUUUCACAGUCAUGAUACACACACACACACACACACACACACACACACACACACACACACAAACACACACAUACACACACACACAAACAUGCAUGCAGAAAUUUAAAAAUAAAAAUAAAUCUGUUAAAAUAUAUAAAAUAAAUAUAUACAUUAAUAUAUCAGGCUAUAUAUCUUUACUCUUAAAUUUACUAAGAUCCAAUAGAAAGAUUUCACUUCUCAAAAGAAAUAAAUAUGACUCAUUAUCUUGUCAAGCACAUUUGGUUUUUGUAGUGCAUUGAACUGUUGAAAUAGAAAAAGCAAUGUAAAACAUGAAUUUUUAAAACUUUAUUGUAGGCACGCUGGGCUGGGCCAAGCCUCUAUUGGGACCAUUGUUUCUUCUCUUUACUACGACAUCAACAACAAUCUAAGUAUCUCAAAAUGGGUGAGAUCAAAUAAUCCAAUAGCUUCUUAUCUUUCACAGUACUUUUUUUUACAUUUCAUUUAGUUUCCUCAAUAAAAACACAUGUCUUACUGUAAUCAUUCCUAAGGUUUUAUUCCAAAACUUGAAUUUUUGACUGUUUAGAAAGAAUAUUAAAGUCACUUUAAUGUACUCUCUACAAUACCAUUGAAAGAGAUGUCAAGGACACUGGGAAAAGAGGGCCCACAGACUCACCUAAGCAGGAUUCAUAUGGGCUCACAGACACUGGAGUGGUAACCACUGAGCCUUCAUGGGUCUGCAUCAGGACCUCUGCAUACCUUCUUUGGUUCUCUAGCUUGGGGUUUUUGUUGGACUUUGAACAAUGAGAGUGGGGUGUGUGUGACUUUUCUGCCUGCUUGUGGGACCUCCUACUGGCUUGCCUCAUCCAGCCUUGAAAUGAGAGUAUGUGCUCAUUCUUAUUGCAUCUUGUUUCGUUGAUAUCACUCGGGGAGGCCUGCUCCUCUCUGAAAAGAAAUGGAGGAACAGUACAUCUGGAGGAGGGGAGAGGGAAGGAAAGCUGCAGUUGGGAUGUAUUGUAAGAGAGGAGUAAAUCAAUAAAAUUUAAAAAGGAAUUGUUAAAUAAAAUAAACAUCUAAUUUCAGUUAAUACUAAAAAAUAAACUUCGUUAUAGGAGUUGAUUGUUACUGAGUUCUACAGCCCUUUAUCUCCAUCCUUUCAAUGAACUGAAAUUGUGGAGGGUAGAAUGGACAAAGCAUCAUUUUAACUUUGAGGAUAUUCUAUAAAGUCACAUGGCCACUACGUCAUAGAAUAUUGAUGUGCUCCUCUUUUUUGAUAAUUUCCUACCACAUUAAUUGAACAUAGACAUGCUUAGAAUGGAAGAUGCUUCCAAAAAUCACAAAAUGCUUCCUGCAUGCAUAAAAAGACUAA